rnacentral:tRNA from 1 species
GCCGGAGUGGCGAAAUCGGCAGACGCAGGGGACUUAAAAUCCCCAGUCCCGCAAGGGGCGUGCGGGUUCGAUUCCCGCCUCCGGCA